UCGGUCAUAUCACGUUUAUACACCGGUUCUCGUACGAUCACCAAAGUUGAGCAACGUUGAGCCUGGUCAGUAUUUAGAUGGGUAACUACUUGGGAAUACCAGAUGCUGUAA